GGAGAGGUGACCGAGCUGGCCGAAGGUGCACGAUUGGAAAUCGUGUGUGCCCAAAAGGCACCGGGGGUUCGAACCCCCCCCUCUCCGCCA
rnacentral:tRNA from 1 species